rnacentral:tRNA from 1 species
AAAUAAGAAGCAAAUAAUUGCAUUUAGUUUCGACCUAAAAAUUUGAUAUUUAAUUAUCCUUAUUUA